rnacentral:rRNA from 1 species
UACGUGGGGUGCGAGCGUUGUCCGGAAUUAUUGGGCGUAAAGAGCUCGUAGGCGGCCUGUCGCGUCGGAUGUGAAAGCCCGGGGCUUAACCCCGGGUCUGCAUUCGAUACGGGCAGGCUAGAGUGUGGUAGGGGAGAUCGGAAUUCCCGGUGUAGCGGUGAAAUGCGCAGAUAUCGGGAGGAACACCGGUGGCGAAGGCGGUUCUCUGGGCCUGACCUGACGCUGAGGAGCGAAAGCGUGGGGAGCGAACAGG